UGUGGUGUUAGAUGUAUGUCCUAAAAGUUAAUAUGGUGAUACAUUGUAAUAAAUUUAGGACAUAGUUUUGUACUUAAUAUAUUGAUAUGAUCAAUAAAAGGAUAAUAUUUUUUCAUUCAAGUAUGAUGUAUCCUUAAAUUAUCCAUGAAAUUAGUUUCGAUACAUAUUCUCAAAGUGUUUAGAAUUAGAGACAUGUAUAUAAUUUUUAAAUACUUUCGAUCAUAGGAUCAUCAUAAAGAUGGUGAUAGAUCUGAUAGACUGAUGCAUAAAUUACUUCUUUCGGGAUAGAUGAGUCUCUGAUCUACUGUGUAGAGACAUAGAGUGAUGAGUGUGGAUGGCUGUUAGAGAAUAACUAGUACUGAGCGUGACCAUAUGAGAGAUCAUUUAGAUUUCUAUUUGAUUGUCAGUGACUAUCUCGAUGCUGUAGUUGUGUGACUAAUCUUUUGAC
rnacentral:lncRNA from 1 species